CAAACCAAUAUCCUCUGCGCUGAGAAUUACUACAAGUGUAUCAGCGGGGACUGUGGCACCUUAAUCAACCGUUCAAUUGAGACUAUUUCUGUCAAUUCCUAUGGUUAUACCUGGUGCCAUCGCGAGGUGGUGACUCAGCUAAAACUCUACGACAACCGGCCCUUUGCCAUUAGAUACCCUACCUAUUAUCACUGGAACUCAGUUGGAUAUUGGGCCCGGAACACUAGGCGUCAAUAUAGUCCGUGGAAAAUGGUGGCUCAUGUUGACCUGGGAAUCCGAUCCGAUACUGGAGUACCCAACAGAUCUCCCACCAUUACAGGCACUCCUCCAAUCCGAAUAACCCGGAACUGUGCAAGGAAGUUCAGUCUGAUGGUGUUUGAUCAUGAUGACGACCAGGUCAGAUGCAGGUUUGGAAAAUCCGAGUUAUCUGAGUGUGGUGCGUGCUACAAACCCUCUGGUUUCUCCUUAGAUGAGGUAAGAGGCACAAUUCAGAAUCCUUACA